UACGUAGGGCGCAAGCGUUGUCCGGAAUUAUUGGGCGUAAAGAGCUCGUAGGCGGCCUAUUGCGUCCGCUGUGAAAUCCCAGGCUUAACCCUGGGCCUGCAGUGGAUACGGGUAGGCUGGAGGCAGGCAGGGGAGAACGGAAUUCCCGGUGUAGCGGUGAAAUGCGCAGAUAUCGGGAGGAACACCGGUGGCGAAGGCGGUUCUCUGGGCCUGUACUGACGCUGA
rnacentral:rRNA from 1 species